ACCUACUGGGAUAGCUCAGUUGGUAGAGCAUGAGACUCUUACUCGGAGGGUUGUGGAUUUGAGCCCCAUGUUGGGCA